AUUGAACGCUGGCGGCAUGCCUAACACAUGCAAGUCGAACGGCAGCACAGCCGUAGCAAUACGGUGGGUGGCGAGUGGCGGACGGGUGAGGAAUGCAUCGGAAUCUGCCCGGUCGUGGGGGAUAACGCAUCGAAAGGUGCGCUAAUACCGCAUGAGAUCGAGAGAUGAAAGCGGGGGACCGCAAGGCCUCUCGCGAUCGGAUGAGCCGAUGCCGGAUUAGCUAGUUGGCGGGGUAAAGGCCCACCAAGGCGACGAUCCGUAGCUGGUCUGAGAGGAUGAUCAGCCACACUGGGACUGAGACACGGCCCAGACUCCUACGGGAGGCAGCAGUGGGGAAUAUUGGACAAUGGGCGCAAGCCUGAUCCAGCAAUGCCGCGUGUGUGAAGAAGGCCUUCGGGUUGUAAAGCACUUUCAGCGGGGAGGAAGGGGGAAUGGUUAAUAACCAUUGCCAUUGACGUUACCCGCAGAAGAAGCACCGGCUAACUCCGUGCCAGCCGCCGCCGUAAGAC
rnacentral:rRNA from 1 species